rnacentral:lncRNA from 1 species
CUCCGGUCCGCCAGACGGCGUGCCGCCGCCGCCGCCACCCCGCGCACUAGAGCCUCGGCGCCAGCCUCGUGCGCCCUCGCCGCCUCCCCGCGGCCCCCGGCCUGCGCCCCUGGGGGUCCCGCGGCUGACCCGCGCGGGAUGUGACCUCUUACCGCUGCCCGGCCUCCCCUGCCCCUCCCCUGCUUGCUUUUGGGGGUGGGGGGUGUGGGGAGCGGCGCGCGGAUCGUGGCGUUGCAGUUCCCGGGCUUGCAUCUGCUUCCCGAAGCAGCAGCGGAGAAGGUGAAGCGGCGGGCUGGGGCGAGGCAGAUGGGGCUCAAGGCGCGCAGGGCGGCGAGGGUGGCUGGCGGCGGCGGCGGCGGGGCCGCUAACCCGGCCGGAGGGGACGCGGCGGCGGCCGGCGACAAGGAGAUUUGGAAAGUGGGGCUGGCGCCCGGCGACGUGAAACAAAUCACCUUGGCGCUCGGGGCCGGAGCUUUCAAAGACGGGACCCUGCUGCUCGAGGGCAGCGGCCGCGACGAGGGGCUGCGGAGGACCCCGCAGGGCAUCGGGCUCCUGGCCAAGACCCCCCCCUGAGCCGCCCUGUCACGAGGAACAACGCCAAGUCCCCGCGCAUCCAAACUUUGAUCUACGACGCCCUCGAGAGACGACGGGGCUGGGCGCUGCUCUACCACGCGCUCGUACUCUUGGAGCUACCUAAGCGGCAGAACUGGGAUCUCGCAGGGGUGUUGCGCCUAUGUCCUAGUGCUGUCUUCACCAUGUCACUGCUGUCCCCAGUGGCAGACGAUACAGAAAAAGACCAUGAUACCAAAUUAGCUUCUUUCAAAGAACAAGAUGCUGGGGUCCUUCCCAUGGGAGGUGUGAUACAUCGUCUGAACAAACCAGUUCUGGGAUUCAUUCUUCACCCCUCUAGGAGCAAGAUGGAGUUGCAGCCAUGGAUGAUGCCCAGGAGGGCCCCUGGAUAAGAUUGUAAGUGACCGAAGUGUGCAGGGAUAGGUGUGAGUUGGGAAGAUUAAGGGAAUGAAUAAUGGAAAUUUGCAGGUAAUUUGUUUUGC